rnacentral:rRNA from 1 species
UACGGGGGGGGCAAGCGUUGUUCGGAAUUACUGGGCGUAAAGGGCGCGUAGGCGGUUUGUUAAGUUGGAUGUGAAAACUCUGGGCUUAACCCAGAGCCUGCAUCCAAAACUAGCGAGCUAGAGUUCUGGAGGGGAUAGCGGAAUUCCUGGUGUAGCGGUGAAAUGCGUAGAUAUCAAGUGGAACACCAGUGGCGAAGGCGAGUCUCUGGACAUUUCCUGACGCUGAGGCACGAAAGCCAGGGGAGCAAACGGG